AUCGUUCGGUGGAAACGAGAAUAAAGCGUGAAGGAUAACGUUGCGUCAGCAACGGCCCGUAGGGCGAGGCGAAGCCGAGUCAUCCUGCACGACCCACCA
rnacentral:sRNA from 1 species